rnacentral:ncRNA from 1 species
AAAGAACCUGUGAUCAGGAAGAGUACUAUGAUGGAAUCGUUUCAGGGAGCCGGCGUCGAGUGCAAGUCCGGUACGCGAAGUCAUACGAAUGGGCCUGUGAGGUGCGGUCUGAGCCAUGAUUGGGGUAGGCGCCGCCGGAUUUCUCCGUUACAGAAGAUGCAUAUGCACUGAGUUGGGCCUUUUGGCCAACAAGGGUGGUACCGCGGAAUUAUUUCCUUUCGUCCCUUUG